GACGAACGCUGGCGGCGUGCUUAACACAUGCAAGUCGAACGGAAAGGCCCUGCUUUUGUGGGGUGCUCGAGUGGCGAAAGGGUGAGUAACAAGUGAGUAACCUGCCCUUGACUUUGGGAUAACUUCAGGAAACUGGGGCUAAUACCGGAUAGGAGCUCCUGCUGCAUGGUGGGGGUUGGAAAGUUUCGGCGGUUGGGGAUGGACUCGCGGCUUAUCAGCUUGUUGGUGGGGUAGUGGCUUACCAAGGCUUUGACGGGUAGCCGGCCUGAGAGGGUGACCGGCCACAUUGGGACUGAGAUACGGCACAGACUCCUACGGGAGGCAGCAGUGGGGAAUAGUGCACAAUGGGCGGAAGCCUGAUGCAGCAACGCCGCGUGCGGGAUGACGGCCUUCGGGUUGUAAACCGCUUUCGCCUGUGACGAAGCGUGAGUGACGGUAAUGGGUAAAGAAGCACCGGCUAACUACGUG
rnacentral:rRNA from 1 species